ensembl:lncRNA
CACAUUUAUAUAUAGUUAAUCUAUAUUUAUAUAUGAGAUAUAAUAUAAAUAUGCUAUAUAAAAUGUAGGAAUAAUAUACUGUAUUUAUACCGAAUGCAUUUCUUAAGAAAAACAUGUGCUGCCUCUUUCUUAGCCAAGACACCUAGGGGAAAGUCUCAAAACCUAGGUAUAAAGUUGAAAAAGAAAAGAAAACCUAAAGGCAAAACAAACCCAGGAAGAGAAGCAAGACAGAAAAAUGUAGAAAGCUGGGAAGGAGAUGGCCUCUGAUUCUGCACUCAACCUGACUCAUGCUCAGUGGGGCAUGCGUUCGGAGCUGUUUGUUACAGGGCGAUGGAGCUGCUGUGAUUCAUCCUCCUUCUCUUGCUGGGAAUCCAUGUGACCAAAUGGCCUCUAUGAAAAAGCCGCAUGACCUUGACCUUUCCCCACGGGCCACACAGAUGCGCAUGUGGCGAGGAGCCAAGGCAAGUCGGGGACAGUUGGGUGCUUGUGGAGUCAAGCCAUGGUGUCCAAAUCCAGUUAAUCAAGCUGCCCAGGUCCAGCUCCCUGACUUUAGUCCGCAGCAGGUAUAACACCCACCAACAGAUGAGAAGUUGCAGAAGUAACUCAGUCAUAAACAUCUUGUCUCUGAAAAGAGAAAAUACCUAUAAAAGUGCCUGGCUCAUGUUAGGGCCUUAAUGGAUGUUUGUGGAAAGUAUUGUUGUUGGAAUGAACCCAGCCAUGAAAGAUCUUGUCUCCCUUCCUGACUCUUAGGUAGUUAGUCAAUUCAGCUGGAGGAAAAAGAAAAAAGAGAGCUGAACUACUUUUUAGACAUAAUAAUAAUUUCUAUUUUCGGUGGUGUUUUCCAGUUUGUAGAGUGCUCCUACAUCAAUAGCGCUUUUGAUUUUUGAGCAGCACUGCAGAGGCAGAGAAUGGUAGAGAGAGAACUCAGAGAUGGCCGGUGCUUUUCAAGGUCGCACGGUCAAGGCAGAGAAUGAAAUCCAAAUUCAGGCUUCUUCUCAAGAAACUGGAGCUGAAGUUUCUUGGCCUCGUUGGUCAGUUUCAUUUUUCAACAUUUCAAAGGAUUAGACUGAUGUUCUAAUUUAAUCAAAAGAAGAUUGGAGUUUGAAACAUCACAUAUGGGGCUUGGCCAACCAAGCCACAAUUCCUAAACCAAAACGAAGGGAUAAACUAAGCCUAAGAGCAGAGAACCCAGUGUUUGAGGGAGAAGAUGGUGAAGGGUGCAGUUUGGAACCACAUUCUUGCUUCAGCAGUUUCAUCCUCUGAACACAGGGGUGAUGUUACUAUUAUAGGAGAUUGUAGUAAGGACUUGAAGGGUUACUGCAUUCUCAGUGUCUAGCACAGUGCUUGGCACAGAGUAGGUGAUUAUUAAAAGCAAUUUUUCUAUUGCUCAUUUCCUUCUGUUUCUCUUUCUCUCAUCCUCUUGGCAUCAUUGUCUUCAUUCUCAUUUGCUCAGGAAAGUACAAGCGUUCUCUCACAAGAACACAGGACUUAGACCACUCAUGGGAUCCAAACAGAGGCUCAGAGAUUCAGAAGGUGGACUGCUGAGAACCAGCUGGGGACCCCGUAAGCUCCAGGGCUCAGGAAGUCUGAAUGGAAAGGUGGGAUUUUUCACAUCCCCUCCCCUUACCAGACCAGAUCAGAAAGAUGACGGAGGAGACUCCUAAGAAAGCUGUGUGUGUGUUGAUCACUCAGUUCUGUCCGACUCUAUGCGACCCCAUGGACUUCAGCCCUCCAGGCUUUUCUGUCCAUGGGAUUCUCCAGGCAAGAAUACUGGAGUAGGUUGCCGUUCCCUUUCGCCAGGGGAUCUUCCUGACCCAGGGAUCGAACCCAGGUCUCCUGCACUGUAGGCAGAUUCUUUACCAUCUGAGCUACUAGGGAAAUCAAGAAAACUCUAAGUACAGAUAAAAUAAUAAAGUUGUGUUUUUCAAAUCAGAGUCAGCUGGAAGGUAUCUUAAGAUACAGCUUGCUGCCCCGUCCUUCUAAUGUUUCUGAUUCAGUGGGUCUGGGCGGGCCCUCCCCGGAGAAUUUGCAUGUCUCUCGGGUUCCCAGGUGCGGCUCCUCUCUGGGCUGGGGCAGGCUCUUACAGAACCAGCACGUGGUGGCAGUUGUUAUGAAUUCUUGACCCGUGAAAGAAAAGGUGAGGGGAGGAAGAGCGUCAGGUGCACUCUGGCUUCCUCCUCACCGCAGCAGGUGUUCUGACCUGGUUCCCCUGUGGGCUCGGACCCACCCAGAGGCGGACACAGGGCUUGGAGCCCUGGCGUGGGGAGGGGCGGAGGGGUCAGCUGCUGUCUCUUCUGUUAAUCUCGGGUGUGGACAGACCCUUUGAAGAGCACCCGAUCCCCGCUCCGCUUUACCGCCAAGAAUUAGGGAUGCGCAGGACGGGUUAGAAUGACCACUUAUAAACAGCAACAGUGUAGGGGUAGUUUUUCUUUUUUCUGGAACAUGUGCCAAUGGAAAAACAUGUGCUGAUCAUGUUAAAUCUCUUGCCUGGUGCUUUGGCUUCUUUCUUCCAGGCUUGAGAGUGGUUGUGAUCACCAGGUUACACCUUCUUACUUCCUAGGAUCCUUCUGAACUAGGCAUGCACCUUCAGCUGGGUUUCCAGGUGAUGCUGAUCUGAAGACCACUCUUGGACAACACAAGCCUGGAGGACAGGGAUGUCUGCUCAAAUGCAUUAAAGAACACCCGGCAGUGUGCAGUUUGGUUAUCCUGCCUGUGGAGGCUGACAUCGGAUUUUCCCCUUCCUCAGAUCUCUCGAGAGAGUCUGUGGUUUUCCCAGGAUCCACUUUCUUAAGGAAAGUGACUUUCUGCUGAUUUGUACCUAUCAACCAUUACCCAGCUCUUACUCCAGGACUCCGAACACUUUUUGUGGAACAGACUUUGCUGUGUCCGCCCAAGGAUGCAUUUGCUUACUGGCAGUAAGCAGGGGGCUGGCAACACCAUCGCUGAUCCUGCUGAGACACCUGCAUUGGCAGGCAGGUUCUUUACCACUGAGCCACCAGGGAAGCCCCAAGUGUGAUUAGGGAGAAUACAGUUUGGUGCUUGGAUUUUCAAGAAGUCAGCUUUUGGAGUCAGUCUCUAAGUUUUUCCAUGCAGAAAAUUUUACCUUUCAUCAAGGUUCCUGGUGCCACCAUCCUCUGCACAGCAUCCUGUACCUGUAGAUUCUGCAGAAGCUCCUGCUUCAUUUCCUGCUGGAAUGGAAUGAUUCAGGAUCCCCCACUGUCCAUCAUCCCUGAGGGGGAGCAGUACUGAAGAAGAGCUUCUCAUGUUCCCCUUGACUCACCCCUAUGGACUUUGCUGGACUAAAAGAAGGUUGGCAUUCAUGCACUGUAAUUUCAUUGACACCAAAAAAAGCCUUUCCUUCACUCCCCUCACUUCCCCCAAACCCCAAGAAAACAAAAACAAACCCUCCCCUUUGUGUUAACCUGCUGAUAUACAACUCUUGGGGUUUUGUUCUUUUAAAUCAUCUAAAUGCAAAUUUUCUUAGAAGUCAUGAUAUUUAGAGCCUGAAAUUUGUCUGUCUGAACAAAUAAAAGAGUCUCAAUCUCCCCUCUGAGGUCCCUGUGUGAGGGAGGGCCUUAUAUAAUUGCUGAGGAGAAAAAGCAGCCCAGACUCUACUUAACCUACUUCUACAGUUUUGUUUUGAGCCCUUUUCGAGAGAGAGUGCAAGACCAGUUUCUCAUCAAACCCACAAAACUCAUAUUCUCAGACUUGGAGUUUUUUCUGUCCCCACCCCUACCUCACCCCACUUCCUCCCCACCUCUGUACUCCACCGUGGCAGGAAGGAAAGAUGGGACCUUUGCUGAGGGCUCAGGAGUGUGGUCUCAGAACCAGGGGGCCUGCCUUUCCAUCUAAGCGCUGACCCUCUCCAGCCAUGUGACCUUGGACAAGACACAUACUCUGUCUGGGCCUCAGUUUCCUCAUUUAUAUAUUUUGGGAACAAAAAUAGUUCUUAUUUCAUAGGAUUCGUUAAAGGUUUAAGAAUUAGUGCAUACAAAACGCUUAGAACUGUACUCAGAACCUAGAAAGCAUCAUCCACGUAGUCAGAUAACAGAGAGGAAAGCCCUGGUGUUGGCAUCAAGCCACCAGGGUCCGUACCCUGGUGCUGCUGCUUAUGACUGUGACCUUCAGCUAGAAACCCAAACCUCUCCGUCUCAGUUUGCUCCUUUGUAAAAGCAGAAUGUGUGCUAAGUCGCUACAGUUGUGUCUGACUCUGUGCAGCUCUAUGGCUUGUAGCCCACCAGACUCCUCCGUCCAUGGGAUUUUCCAGGCAAGAAUACUGGAGUAGCUUGCCAUUUGCUUCUCCAGGGGAUCUUUCCAACCCAGUAGACGAACCUGUGUCUCUUAUGCCUCCUGCAUUGGCAGGCAGGUCCUUUACCACUAGCGCCAUCUAGGAAGCCCGUAAAGGAGGAUAAUAGUAACCGUAUCAGGGGAUUGUUGAGAAGUUUAAAUGAGUUAAUAUUACAAAGCUUUUCAAUCAAACACACCAGGCACCAGUGAGCACUCAGUGUAAUUAUUAUUUUACUCUAUAGCAUGUUGACAUUGUACAAGGU